rnacentral:tRNA from 1 species
AGGGUUGUAGUUAUUAUAACAUUUAAUUUGCAUUUAAAAAAUAUUGAAUUUUCAAUCUACCUUA